rnacentral:lncRNA from 1 species
UCAAGUGACAAGAGGCUUUGUCCGGAUCCGAGGUCUUUCUGUGAGGGUGUUUCGACGCGCUGGGCAGUUUGUGCCUCCAUAGCAUUCGUUAACAGGUCAAAAUGCAAAUCUUCGUGAAGACCCUGACCGGCAAGACCAUCACCCUGGAGGUGGAGCCCAGUGACACCAUCAAGAACGUGAAGGCCAAGAUCCAGGAUAAGGAGGGCAUCCCCCCUGACCAGCAGAGGCUCAUCUUUGCCGGCAAGCAGCUGGAAGAUGGCCGCACCCUCUCUGACUACAACAUCCAGAAAAAGUCAACCCUGCACCUAGUCCUCCGCCUGAGGGUUGACUAUUAAUUCUUCAGUCUGCAUUCCCGGCAGGCACUGAUGGCAUUGCUCUGCACUCUAGCCAUUUGCCCC